AGCGUUCCGGCAUUCACGGGCCUCCCCACAACCCAGCAGGUGUGGACACCCGGGUGCCCAAGCCCAACGUCAGGGACUCGGAGGAGUGGCACGCUCCCCGGGCAGCUCACUCCCGGGCACCCAGCCCCAGGGCCUAGCCGGGCCACACCCCUCCUCCGGAGCCUCAGCCGGGCUGCUCCUGUCCCUCGCACACACUUGAGUCCCCCUGGGGUCCUCGCACAACCCGGCAAGGCCAAGUUAGGGCUGGCCGGGCUGGAGACACAGAUCGGAGUCAGCGGUCCCCCCACCCCACCCCUCCGCAGAACAGACACGCGGGGCUGAGCCCCGGCCGCUGGGAGCGCGCGGGUUCGGCGGCCCGCCCAGCUCCGCAGGGACCCCCGUCAGCGGCGGGCGGCUCCCCAGCAUCCCAGGUCCCCGCCCCCGUCCCCUCCGGCGCGGCGAGUGUAGUUACCGAUGGUGGUGAUGACGGUGAUGGCGAAGUAGAAGGAGCCGGCGAAGCGCCACUGCACGCCGGCCUUGUGCGGCUUGAGGCGCAGCACGACGCGCUCCAGCUCCUCGUAGCCGCCCUCGCUGAGGUUGUAGCGCGCCCGCAGCUCCAGCUGCCGCAGCUCCAGCCGCUGCCGCUCGAUCAUCUCCGGCUCCGACUCCAGCGCGUCGAACACGGCGGCGCCCACCAGCAGGCCUCCCUAUUUUCUCCGUAGCCUCCUCCUUCUCUCUCUUCUCCUCUCUUCUUUGGAACCUCUGCAUCCUCACACUGGAAGCAGGGACAGAGGGUGGACUCAGCCAUGACUGAGAUCUCUUACAGACCAACAGUAAGAAAAACCUUUGCAUGGCAGAGAAAAGGGUUCCCAUGAUGGCCAGAAUGCCCGGUUAGAGCCGAGACCUGUCUUGACUUCGGCAGUCUGGAGAAGCUAGAGCACACUUCUUUGUUGGAGACACGAUUUCUGGGACUAUGCUUACCAUGGAUUGGGGCUCCACCGAUUCUCCCGGUGCCCUGCGAAGUUCAACAUCUUCAUAGAUGGAGAUGAUCUCUCAGCUGUUGUUCCAGCUGCCUCCUUUCCUGCUGCCUCGGCUCUGCUGUCUUGGACUCGAACCCUCUGGAACUGUCUACCCCGAAUAAACUCUUCCUUCUAUAGUUUG